UACGUAGGUGGCAAGCGUUGUCCGGAUUUAUUGGGUUUAAAGGGUGCGUAGGCGGCCCUGUAAGUCAGUGCUGAAAUAUCCCAGCUUAACUGGGAGGGUGGCAUUGAUACUGCGGGGCUAGAGUACAGAUGAGGUAGGCGGAAUUGACGGUGUAGCGGUGAAAUGCUUAGAUAUCGUCAAGGACACCUAUAGCGAAGGCAGCUUACUAGGCUGUAACUGACGCUGAGGCACGAAAGUGUGGGGAUCAAACAGG
rnacentral:rRNA from 1 species